AUCAGAAGAGAGGUCCGUAAUGGAACUACCUGUUUAGGGAUUUCCUCUAUUGUUCAGGCAGCAGGUGAUUUUUACCUGAAAUAGUAAACCUGGUAGGAUGGUCUGGGGACUGGAAAGACCUUAAAAUACAGGGAGUGCAGAAUUAUUAGGAAAAUGAGUAUUUUGACCACAUCAUCCUGUUGUCUUACUCCAAGCUGUAUAGGCUCGAAAGCCUACUACCAAUUAAGCAUAUUAGGUGAUGUGCAUCUCUGUAAUGAGAAGGGGUG